UCAAGUUAUUAAGGGUGCAGGGCGGAUGCCUUGGCACUAGGAGCCGAUGAAGGACGUGAUAAGCUGCGAUAAGCUUCGGGGAGUUGCACGUAAACUUUGAUCCGAAGAUUUCCGAAUGAGGAAACUCACUUAGAGUAAUGUCUAAGUAUCAUUAAGUGAAUACAUAGCUUAAUGAGGGGAACUCAGGGAACUGAAACAUCUAAGUACCUGAAGGAAGAGAAAGAAAUUCGAUUCCGUAAGUAGCGGCGAGCGAACGCGGAUUAGCCCAAACCAAUAAAGUUUUCUUUAUUGGGGUUGAGGACAUACCACAUAUAAGAGGUCAUUAUAGACGAAGAAGUUUGGAAAAACUCAUCAUAGAAGGUAAUAAUCCUGUAGUCAAAAUAAUAAUUCUUUAGGUAUGAUCCAGAGUACCACGGGACACGUGAAACCCUGUGGGAAGCAGGAGGGACCACCCUCCAAGGCUAAAUACUACCUAGUGACCGAUAGCGUAUAGUACCGUGAGGGAAAGGUGAAAAGAACCCCGGGAGGGGAGUGAAAUAGAACCUGAAACCCUGCACUUACAAGCUGUGGAAGCACAUUUCUUGUGUGACCGCGUACUUUUUGUAGAACGGGCCAACGAGUUACGUUAAGUAGCAAGGUUAAGCACUUAAGGUGCGGAGCCGUAGCGAAAGCGAGUUUUAACUGAGCGUUCAGUUACUUGACGUAGACCCGAAACCGGGCGACCUACCCAUGAGCAGGAUGAAGCGAAAGUAAAAUUUCGUGGAGGUCCGAACCCACGAGCGUUGAAAAGCUCGGGGAUGACUUGUGGGUAGCGGUGAAAUUCCAAUCGAGCCCGGAGAUAGCUGGUUCUCCCCGAAAUAGCUUUAGGGCUAGCCUCAAGGUGAGAGAUACGGAGGUAGAGCACUGAAUGUCCUAGGGGGUAUUGCACCUACCGAAGACUAUCAAACUCCGAAUGCCGUCAUCUUAUACUUGGGAGUCAGACUGUGGGUGAUAAGAUUCAUAGUCGAAAGGGCAACAGCCCAGAUCGUCAGCUAAGGUCCCUAAAUGUAAGUUAAGUGGUAAAGGAUGUGGGAUUGCACAGACAACCAGGAUGUUGGCUUAGAAGCAGCCACUCAUUCAAAGAGUGCGUAAUAGCUCACUGGUCGAGUGAUCCUGCGCCGAAGAUUUCCGGGGCUAAAACUUACUACCGAAGCUACGGCAUCAGUAAUGAUGGGUAGGGGAGCUUCCCAUACGGGUUGAAGCAUGACCGUAAGGACAUGUGGACAGUAUGGGAGUGAGAAUGUUGGCAUGAGUAGCGAGAUGUGGGUGAGAAUCCCACAGGCCGUAAACCCAAGGUUUCCAGGGGAAGGUUCGUCCGCCCUGGGUUAGUCGGGACCUAAGCUGAGGCCGAAAGGCGUAGGUGAUGGACAACAGGUUGAUAUUCCUGUACUACCGAUAACCGUUUGAGAGAAGGGAUGACACAGUAGGAUAAGCUAAGCACACUGUUGGUUAUGUGUGCCCAAGCAUUGAGGCAGUCAAAGUAGGCAAAUCCGCUUUGAUAAUGCUGGGAUGUGAUGGGGAGCGAAAUUUAGUAGCGAAGUAGCUGAUUUCACACUGUCAAGAAAAGUCUCUAUCGAGGUUAAAGGUACCCGUACCGCAAACCGACACAGGUGGGUGAGGAGAGUAUCCUAAGGCCAGCGAGAGAACUGUUGUUAAGGAACUCGGCAAAAUGACCCCGUAACUUAGGGAUAAGGGGUGCCACCAUCAGGUGGCCGCAGAGAAUAGGCCCAAGCGACUGUUUACCAAAAACAUAGGUUUCUGCUAAGUCGCAAGACGAUGUAUAGGAGCUGACGCCUGCCCGGUGCUGGAAGGUUAAGGGGAUCUGUUAGAGCAAUCGAAGCAGUGAACUUAAGCCCCAGUAAACGGCGGCCGUAACUAUAACGGUCCUAAGGUAGCGAAAUUCCUUGUCGGGUAAGUUCCGACCCGCACGAAAGGCGUAACGAUUUGGGCACUGUCUCAACAACAGACUCGGUGAAAUUGUAAUUCCGGUGAAGAUGCCGGAUACCUGCGACAGGACGGAAAGACCCCAUGGAGCUUUACUGUAGCUUGACAUUGGGUCUUGGUACUACAUGUACAGGAUAGGUGGGAGGCUUUGAAACCAGGACGCCAGUUUUGGCGGAGCCAUCCUUGGGAUACCACCCUUGUAGUACUGGGACUCUAACCAUAGGCCAUGAAUCUGGUCUUGGGACACUGUCAGGUGGGCAGUUUGACUGGGGCGGUCGCCUCCCAAAAGGUAACGGAGGCGCUCAAAGGUUCUCUCAGUACGGUCGGAAAUCGUACGUAGAGUGUAAAGGCAAAAGAGAGCUUGAUUGCAAGACAUACAGGUCGAGCAAGGAUGAAAAUCGGACUUAGUGAUCCGGUGGUUCUGCGUGGAAGGGCCAUCGCUCAACGGAUAAAAGCUACCCUGGGGAUAACAGGCUUAUCUCCCCCAAGAGUCCACAUCGACGGGGAGGUUUGGCACCUCGAUGUCGGCUCAUCACAUCCUGGGGCUGUAGUAGGUCCCAAGGGUUGGGCUGUUCGCCCAUUAAAGUGGUACGCGAGCUGGGUUCAGAACGUCGUGAGACAGUUCGGUCCCUAUCCGUCGCAGGCGUAGGAAAUUUGAGAAGACCUGUCCUUAGUACGAGAGGACCGGGAUGGACGUACCUCUGGUGUACCAGUUGUCCUGCCAAGGGCAUGGCUGGGUAGCUAUGUACGGAAUGGAUAAGCGCUGAAAGCAUCUAAGCGCGAAGCCAACUUCAAGAUAAGAUUUCCCACCGCAAGGGUAAGACCCCAGAAAGACUAUCUGGUUGAUAGGUCGAAGGUGUAAGUGCAGCAAUGUAUUUAGCUUAUCGAUACUAAUAGGUCGAGGACUUGACCAA
rnacentral:rRNA from 2 species